GGGCCUUUAGCUCAGUUGGUAGAGCGCCACGUUUACACCGUGGACGUCGUCGGUUCGAGCCCGGCAGGGCCCA
rnacentral:tRNA from 3 species